UACAGAGGGGGCGAGCGUUGUUCGGAAUUACUGGGCGUAAAGCGUGCGCAGGCGGCUAUGCAAGACAGAUGUGAAAUCCCCGGGCUCAACCUGGGAACUGCAUUUGUGACUGCAUGGCUAGAGUACGGCAGAGGGGGAUGGAAUUCCGCGUGUAGCAGUGAAAUGCGUAGAUAUGCGGAGGAACACCGAUGGCGAAGGCAAUCCCCUGGGCCUGUACUGACGCUCAUGCACGAAAGCGUGGGGAGCAAACAGG
rnacentral:rRNA from 1 species